AUUGAACGCUGGCGGCAUGCCUUACACAUGCAAGUCGAACGGUAACAGGUCUUCGGAUGCUGACGAGUGGCGAACGGGUGAGUAAUACAUCGGAACGUGCCUAGUAGUGGGGGAUAACUACUCGAAAGAGUGGCUAAUACCGCAUGAGAUCUACGGAUGAAAGCAGGGGAUCGCAAGACCUUGUGCUACUAGAGCGGCCGAUGGCAGAUUAGGUAGUUGGUGGGAUAAAAGCUUACCAAGCCGACGAUCUGUAGCUGGUCUGAGGGGACGAUCAGCCACACUGGGACUGAGAAACGGCCCAGACGCCUACGGGAGGCAGCAGUGGGGAAUUUUGGACAAUGGGCGCAAGCCUGAUCCAGCAAUGCCGCGUGCAGGAUGAAGGCCUUCGGGUUGUAAACUGCUUUUGUACGGAACGAAAAGCCCCGGGUUAAUACCCUGGGGUCAUGACGGUACCGUAAGAAUAAGCACCGGCUAACUACGUGCCAGCAGCCGCCGUAA
rnacentral:rRNA from 1 species